rnacentral:rRNA from 1 species
UUUGGAGAAGGUGCUUCGGGUGCGACGGCGGUCCAAGUCCCUUGGAAUAGGGCGUCGCAGAGGGUGAGAAUCCCGUACGCGAUCGAUCGUCAAGCCCGUGCGAAGCCCUUUCGACGAGUCGAGUUGUUUGGGAAUGCAGCUCAAAAUGGGUGGUAAAUUUCAUCUAAGGCUAAAUACCUGCCGGAGACCGAUAGCGCACAAGUAGAGUGAUCGAAAGAUGAAAAGCACUUUGAAAAGAGAGUGAAAAAGUACGUGAAAUUGUUGAAAGGGAAGCGCUUGCAACCAGACUCGUUCGCGGGUGUUCAGCCGUCCCUCGGGGCGGUGCAUUCUCCCGCGAUCGGGCCAGCAUCGGUUUUGGCGGCCGGAUAAAGGCCUCGGGAACGUAACUCUCUCCGGGGAGCGUUAUAGCCCGGGGUGCAAUGCGGCCCGCCGGGAUCGAGGAUCGCGCAUUCGCUAGGAUGCUGGCGUAAUGGUUGCCAGCGACCCGUCUUGA